rnacentral:misc_RNA from 1 species
AUUAAAAGACGGACAAGAAAAGGCAAACCAGAUAAAGAAAUCAUUGGUACGACACGCUUUAUCCUCCAAGUACAGUAUAACGUUCAACGAGUUGUGUAGUAACAUAAAUUGUAAGUAACAAAAGAAAAAUCAAAGAGCAGAGGACGAAAUAAGUAGAUAAAUAGUUGAUCGAUGCACACGCAAUUACCACACUCAUGUUGCUUGUGUACGACGGCAGAUGCGCGCAGACUUGUUUCCGGCGAUCGUCGAGAGGGUAAAGGCGUACCGGAGUCGCCGUUUCAUUCAGUAUACCAACGACUGUAGUGCCGGUGAGACGAGUAUCUCUCGAUUCGUGGGCGACUUUCGCACAGGUACACACUUUUGUGCACCUCAGUGGCUCGCUUUUUGCUUGUUCUAUCCGUGUUCCGUCUAUUUCCGUUCGGCAACGCGUGUGCCUCUUGCAACAGGAACGCAACAAGAAGAAAAUUCAUCGUUCGAUAACGAGGUCAAAAACGUGUGUGAAAGUAGUGGCACUCGCUUCAGUAUCGUCUAGAUUUUGGUCCUAGUCGCAACAACGUUCUUUAUUCCUGAAAGCUUUACUACAUGCGGUUUCUAAACUACGACCAAUUAUGACAUCCUGAUAGAUCAAGCUCCUACAGUUACAAAAGAGUCGCGUGACGUGAUAAAACGUUGGAAUUUUAACCGAUACAAGCUGGGUCGAAGCUAUUUGAAAAUUUAACCAAGUAAAAAGAACGGCAGCCAUGUCGUUUCUCAGAUCCAUUGGAGAUCUGAUCGGUUUCCUCAUCCUCACCCUGGUGUCCAUAUUCGAAAGCAUCAUCAAAACGUUCAUCCCGGCAAAAUACAAGAUGAAGAGCAUCAUCAGGGAGGUCGUCCUGGUGACUGGGGGUGGCGGCGGCUUGGGAAGGUUGAUCACCCUCAGGCUAGCCAAUCUAGGCGCCAUCAUGGUCAUCUGGGACGUUAAUCAGGAGGGUAUCGAGGAGACUGUCAAGCUGGUGGGAGCCUCGGGUGGUAUCUGUUACGGUUACAUUUGCGAUCUAUGCAAUCGAGAAGAUAUUUAUAAGAAAGCGAUGCUAGUCGAGGAAGAAGUUGGAAAGGUGACCAUUUUGAUAAACAACGCUGGCGUGGUGAGCGGCACGAAAUUUUUGGAUACGCCAGACAAGCUCAUUAUCCGAACGAUGAAUGUAAACGUGAUGAGCCACUUUUGGACAACAAAGGCAUUUUUACCUUCGAUGAUGAAAGACAAUAAAGGUCACAUUGUGAGUAUCGCUAGUCUUGCUGGGCACAUAGGGGUACCAAAAUUAGUGGAUUAUUGCACUUCAAAGUUUGCUGCAAUUGGAUUCGAGGAGGCCCUUCAUAUGGAAUUAGCUGCUGAUGGAUAUAAUAUCAAUACUACAGUGGUAUGCCCAUUUUUCAUUCGAAGCACAGGCAUGUUUGAUGACGUUUCAACUAGAUUUUUACCGAGACUCAGUCCAAAUGAAGUGGCAGAUCGAGUAGUGUAUGCUAUAAGAUGUAACGAAAAGAUCGCUGUAGUGCCGCGUUACCUUCACGUGCUUCUUAUUGCAAAAUGGUUAUUUCCAUGGGCUUCCGCAGGUAUGUUUAUACGAGGUAUAAUUUCAGAGAAUGUUCCAUGUCAUAAACCAUCGAGCAAUACUACCAACAAAGAAAAAAUCGUUCCCGUUAUGGUACCCAAGAAAUCGGAGAACACAAUUAUUCGUGAAAAAUUGACCAGACGUAUCGCCAAUUCUGAGAGGAAGCCUUAAUGGCUUUGUGAUCAACAAGUUUGCAAAUUUUACAUAUCCAACGUAUUUUCGAUUUCUUUCUCCUUUUCUGUAUAAAUGACGUAUGUAUAAAAGUUAGGAAAUAUUUUAACUAACAUACGAUAACAGCCAUGUUACUAAGAUGAAAGGCUCAGUUCGUUCGAAUUUUAAUGCACGUUAAAGAAACUUGUUUUCACAGCGAGUUGCUGUGUAAAAUUAAGACAAGUUUUGUAAAAGAAGAAGCGAGAAGUUGUAGAACUACUAUUCCCCAAAGACACGACCUCCAUAGAGAAAGAAAGAUUGAUUCCAGGGAAUACACUUUGGUAGUGUGUUGUCUUCUGGAAAGUACUGCACAAUAUUAAUGAAGAUUUAUAUAUUUCGAUGUUACUGGGUAUUUCUGUAAUGUUUUGUACAAUAAUAAUAUUUUAUAGUACAGUAAUGAAAUUGAUAGUUACAAGUUUAAUAUUAUAAGUAAGAACGAUUGAUCUAGGCAACACGGGUACAAUUUUUACAAUUGGCUCUAUGUGAUACAAUGAGCAAUGAUAGUAAUGUAAGGAUAGCGUGAGAUUUGUUACUUGUAACUCAUGGCUGUAAAAGAACAAGUGUAUAUUUAUCUAGCGUAUGUAACAAACUUGGCGAAUUGUCACGGAAAAAAGAAAGAAAAAUUGCAGAUGUCCAACAAAAAAAAUAAAGAUUGUGUCAUUUGUACGUAUUGACCCACUUAAACUACCGACUUACGAGAUGAAACUUGUUGAUUCGAAACAACUAUAUGCAACUAUACCGUUAUCAUUUUAUAAUGGUGUGCCAUAUGUCUACUCUAAUAUACGAAUGAUUGUUUUAUACAUAGAUACUGUAAUAAAAUUACACACUUUA